rnacentral:rRNA from 1 species
CCCUUAGAUGUUCUGGGCCGCACACGCGCUACACUGAAGGAGGUAGCGUGUACUCCUGGAUCGAAAGAUUUGGGUAACCCGCGAAUCUCCUUCGUGCUAGGGAUUGAGGUUUGCAAUUAUCCUUCAUGAACGAGGAAUUCCCAGUAAGUGCAAGUCAUAAGCUUGCGCUGACUACGUCCCUGCCCUUUGUACACACCGCCCGUCGCUACUACCGAUUGAAUGAUUUAGUGAGGACUUCGGACUGGGACCGAUGCGGCUUUCGGGCUGCGUCGGUAUUCUGGAAAGAUGUCCAAACUGUAUCAUUUAGAGGAAGUAAAAGUCGUAACA